rnacentral:rRNA from 1 species
UACGGGGGGGGCAAGCGUUGUUCGGAAUUACUGGGCGUAAAGGGCUCGUAGGCGGCCAACUAAGUCGGACGUGAAAUCCCCAGGCUCAACCUGGGAACUGCGUCCGAUACUGGAUGGCUUGAAUCCGGGAGAGGGAUGCAGAAUUCCAGGUGUAGCGGUGAAAUGCGUAGAUAUCUGGAGGAACACCGGUGGCGAAGGCGGCAUCCUGGACCAACACUGACGCUGAGGAGCGAAAGCCAGGGGAGCAAACGGG